UAUAAGUUAAUUUAAUUUAAAAUAUUGACCUGUGGAGUCAAUUAUGGCAACCCCCACUUAUAU
rnacentral:tRNA from 1 species